AACCACCAACCAGUCUGGAAUUUCCUGAUCAACACUACUAAGAGCUGACUGGAACCUGAUGCCACUGUGGUCUCCUGAUACUGAACGGUCACAUUUGCCUACGUUAAAUUGAGCGCUCAUCCUGGGAACAAGUGUCCUUUUCAUGGUCUGGUUAGUGCCACGCUUUUUGCAUUUUGGGUUUUUUUGUUGGUGAUUUCGUUGUUUUAAAUGGCUGUGUGACGUUUCUAAGCACAAGAAGGCUCUGAUGUGCCUCACAGAGAAAAUGUGUGUGUUACAUUGGCAUUAUUCAGGCACAAGCUGCAGGGCUGUUGGCCACGAGCUCAACCUUAAUGAAUCAAUGGUAUAUGUUAAAUAAGGUGUUUUAAAACAGAAACACACAUAAAACAAGGUUAUUUAUUACCCGGUUGAUGAAAAUGUCACCAGAGGCUUGUAGGAAUGUAAGCCUGUAUUUCCCCUGGGAGUAAUGGUUUACUGUUCUCUGUCUCCGUGUUCGUGGGGACUUUAUAGAACAGAACUAGUGUGUAUAAUGGGGAUGUGAGUAAUGGGAACCAUAGUAUGGUAGUGAGGGCAAAGGUCCUUGGCACAGCAGAUGUGGCCCAGGUCGGCUAGCUUGGUCUUACUCCUCACCAUCUCCUCUUUGAACGCUACUAUCCAAUCACAUUAUGUUCUUUAUAGGUCAAUGAAUCUCCAAACUCUCACUUUUAUGCCUUUCAUAAGCCUGGGUCAUUCUCUCAUCUCUGCCUGAAUAACUACUAUUUGUCCUUCAAGACUUAACUCUGAUACCCACUUCUCAGAAGGCCUCCCCCAAGGCCUCCCUCUCAGGGCCAGGUUUUGGCCCUGAGUCCCGCUUGCCACGCUGGAGUGUGAUCAUUUGUGUAUAUGCUGACUGUGCUGUCCUGGAAGGCCUAGGCUGUCUUUUAUUCACCUUUAUCCCCUCAGCCCAAACAUAGUACUCGAAACAUAGUAGGUGCUUCAUGAACAGCUGAUGAGUGGCUGACAGACUGGAUGGAUAAAAGAAUAAUUGGCUGAAUAUUUCUGAGAAAGGUGCUGACUGUGGAGUAUAGCAUAGCCUGGGAGCUCAGUUUAUUAGCAACUCAGAAAAGUGCUAAUUUGACUGACUGAAAAUACAAAAUAAGUACAAACCUAAGACAAAAGAUAUUGUAGCUCUGGCCUGGUGGCUCAGUUGAUUGAAGUGUUGUCCUGUACACCAAAAAGGCUGCAGGUUCGAUUCCCGGUCAGGGCACAUACCUAGAUUUUGGAUUUGUUCCCUGGUUAGGGAGCAUACGAGAGGCAACCGAUGGAUGUUUCUCUCUCACAUCUAUGUUUUUCUUGCUCCCUUACUCUCUAAAAUUCAAUAGAAAAAACAUGCUCUGGUGAGGAUUUAAAAAAAAAACAAACCCACAAAAUAUUGCAUAAACCCUUUUCAGGGGACCUGGAAUGGAAAAGACCAUUCAGCCUGUCUCUUCCGGCUUUCAGAAAGUUCUGAAUCAUUGUUUAGACUGAACAGCCUUUUAUUAAAUACCACUCACUCCCUUUUAAGUUCACUGUCAAGCUUUAUUGGAUUCUGAAAAGGACCAGGAGGAAAUGUGGAUGGCGAGCAGCAAGGGGCAUCUCUCCCUUGCCCCUGUCUUUUGAUUACAGGCGAUCAUGAGUCAAGAGACCAACUAACCGAAUAAUCCUAUGGUAAUAAUUUUUGUAAGCUUGCGGACAUAUUCAAGCUGAACUGAAAUUGUUCAAUUUCUCUUGACAUUAGCAAGGAUACAGCAGAGAUGCAUCCACACACGCGCACACACACACACACACUCUCGCUCUCUUCUCUCCCAUUCUUGGGUACAUUGCUCUUUCCCUGUGUACUUUGCUUGCUACUUA